AUGCCGUGGAUAACCCCGCCUGGCCUGAGCACCGCGUCUGGGCGCGUGAUGGCGGCGUGCGCGACGCCAUUGGUGCCCAUGGCGAGCUCGAUCUCCUCACCGGAGAGGGUGAGGUGGUGGGCCGCGGGCCAUGACCCCGCGGGGUGGCGGGAGGGGAGGACCAAUGCCACCAGCACCGAGUUGGAUUUGACCCCCACCCCGGCGACCGCAGCUGCCCCAGUGUCGGUUGACGCGGCGAAGGGGAGUUGUGGAGGGCAAUGUGGGUUCCUACGGCGCCGUCUUGGCGGCCACCGCGCCGGCCAGGAAAAAGCAAUCAGCCCCCACCCCUCGGGCAGAGGCGCGCUGGGCGUCGGGUUCAUGGCCUCCGCCGCGCUGCUUGGCCGGCGACGCUGGAGCGACGCGCUGGGCGGAGGGCCGGCGACCUCGCCGCAGCCGACAAGCACGCCUGCGACCACCGCUACCCCGCCAUCCUCCUCCCAUUUUCUCUCCUUCUCCUCUGGGACGACCCGCACCUCGCCCCUACCUAGCCCAGCCGUUGGCAGCCACGGCCAUGUCGACGGCGUCGGAAUCCGCGACGGCCUAUAUCCCCUGCUUCUCUCCAAGCACGGUCGAGGCCAUGGCCGAGCAACCGCCCGGCUCCAACCGCACGACGGCGCACGGGCCCGACCCGACCGGCACUGUCGAGGAGCUCUUCGCAGGGACCUCCUCCACUGCGUGGCCGUCUGCGCCGACGAGGUCGGCCUCGCCGGGGAACGCCUCCUCCUCUCCUCUCUCUGCGCGCGUCACGGGCGCGAGGGCCUGCCCAGCCACUUCGAGGCCGGCCGCCGCGCCGAGUUCCACCCGGAGUACAUGGGUGCCGGUGCAGGAGGCAUGGUCGUUGGCUUCGCUAUCGCUCCCGGAUUCCGGCUGAGCAACGCCGGCGUGAUCGACAUCGAUAUGGCCGGAGGAACAGCAUGGAAAGAAUGGGGUAUCGCAACAUGGAAAGAAUGGGGUAUCCAGGCGUUGGUGCUGCUCAGCUUGACGCUCCAGGUGGCGCUGCUCACGCUGGCGGAAUUCCGGCGGCGCGUUGACUCCGGCGCGGUAAGGUUCUUGGCUUGGUCGGCGUACAUGCUGGCCGACGGCACGGCCAUCUACGUGCUGGGCCACCUGUCCGCCGCCAGCCGGUCUCUCGACCACGAGCUUAUGGCCUUCUGGGCGCCGUUCCUGCUGCUCCAUCUGGGCGGGCAGGACAACAUCACCGCCUACGCCGUCGAGGACAACCGGCUCUGGCUGCGGCACUUGCAGACGCUUGCCGUGCAGGUGACCGCCGCCGGCUACGUCCUCUUCUACACCUCCGUUGUCGUUGGUGGCUCGGCCUUGCUCCGGUGGGCCGGCAUCCUCAUGUUUGUGGUGGGUGUCGUCAAGUACGCGGAGAGGGUCUGGGCUCUCCGGUGCGCUGGCAGCAACCCGGUGGGGAAGAACUACCAAGCUUUACAGCAUUCGGCCUUCGUUUUCUCACGCAACAAUCUGGAAGACAUACUAGACAAGCGUCCAUGGGACACUGAAGACUGCCUACUGAUGGCUCACCGAACGCUUGGGGUUCCCAAGGAAAUGAUCAAGGGGCUGAUCAACGAAGCAGGAUACGGACAUGCUUCGUAUCUCCGGGAGGAGGGCCGUUUGUACAAGGUGGUUGAGAUGCAGCUGUCCCUGAUGCACGAUGUCCUGUACACCAAGGCUGAGGUGAUGCACACUUGGUACGGCCUCUGCAUCCGUAUGCUCUCGCCGGGCGCUCUCCAACUACAUGCUCUACCUCCUCGCCUCACGCCCCUACAUGCUCGGUCCCACUGCCAACCACAAUUCCUACAUCGAGGAUGCGAGCUUGGUGCCAAGAUCGUCGUCAGCAAGGAGGUCCAAGAUGACGCAAUGGGCACGCUGGAGCUGCUCGCCCAGGUGUGGGUGGAGACGCUAUGCUACGCGGGCCAGCGGUGCAGUGCACUUUUUCAUGCCAAGCAGCUCAGCGACGGCGGUGAGCUCAUCACCGUCGCUGCCAUUCUAGUGGAGUACUUCAAACGAGGAAAAAUAGAAACAAAAGAACAGGAAGAGGCGGGGACGAGGUUCAUGGAGGAAGGACCUUUUGAUAUCCGUUGA
rnacentral:rRNA from 1 species